GGAAAUCUCACCAGGCCCGGACACUGGAAGGAUUGACAGAUUGAUAGCUCUUUCUUGAUUCGGUAGGUGGUGGUGCAUGGUUGUUCUUAGUUGGUUGAGUGAUUUGUCUGGUUAAUUCCGUUAACGAACGAGACCUUAACCUGCUAAAUAGUGACGCGGUUCAUCGAACCGUGGGCCACUUCUUAGAGGGACUAUCGGAUUCAAACCGAUGGAAGUGUGAGGCAAUAA
rnacentral:rRNA from 1 species